AGCCUAGAGUUCGGGUAUGGGUAUGGUUCCCGUUGCAACACAGCUGGCAGCCCCAGUGUCUCCCCAGCCUCCCCCUCCUCCUACCUCUCAUCUCUCUCAUACACCAGCUCAGUUAUGACUGGUUCUGAUCUCGAUGAUGCUCUCAUGACCCGACGUUCCUCAAGCAGUGGUCUUCUCUCGCCUGAUGUGGAGUCACCAAGGACAGAUGGGGAGCAGGAUGGAUUCUACCUUUUGAAAAAAGAUUCUCAGCGACGGACAACUCUCACCAAAGUGUUGGUUCAUGAUCAACAAAAGAUUGUUCAAAUUUGGUUCCAGCGUCUGCAGCAGGAACUGG